GAUGAACGCUGGCGGCGUGCCUAAUACAUGCAAGUCGAGCGAACGGACGAGAAGCUUGCUUCUCUGAUGUUAGCGGCGGACGGGUGAGUAACACGUGGAUAACCUACCUAUAAGACUGGGAUAACUUCGGGAAACCGGAGCUAAUACCGGAUAAUAUUUUGAACCGCAUGGUUCAAAAGUGAAAGACGGUCUUGCUGUCACUUAUAGAUGGAUCCGCGCUGCAUUAGCUAGUUGGUAAGGUAACGGCUUACCAAAGCAACGAUGCAUAGCCGACCUGAGAGGGUGAUCGGCCACACUGGAACUGAGACACGGUCCAGACUCCUACGGGAGGCAGCAGUAGGGAAUCUUCCGCAAUGGGCGAAAGCCUGACGGAGCAACGCCGCGUGAGUGAUGAAGGUCUUCGGAUCGUAAAACUCUGUUAUUAGGGAAGAACAUAUGUGUAAGUAACUGUGCACAUCUUGACGGUACCGAAUCAGAAAGCCACGGCUAACUACGU
rnacentral:rRNA from 1 species